GAUGCCGCUUAGGCCCCGUUGUGACUCCGUCAAUAAUUCAGCAGAGCAAGUUUGUAUGAAGGCCUGGUUAUUAAAUGGGUACAUAGUUCAAUAGUAAUAUCCUGUAACACCCUCUGGUGAUGAACUUUGCUGCCCUGUUUCCAGUUGUCCACAUUUCUGGGAGAACCUAUUCAAGUAAGUAAGUAAAUAGAUUUUGAAAAUGGAAAAAAAAAACGAUUAUAUUAUUAGCUAACUAGCUACAGUGCAGGCUAACUCAAAUGAGCUGCUAAAUGAGCUAUCUAGACAACUUCAAAUACUGUAUAGAUAGCUAGCUAAGUGAAUUAAAUAUCACCAGCUACCUAACUUCAUAUUAGCUAGCUAUCUUGAUGUAUUUAUCACUGUAAAAAACAAACUCCAAAUGCAUUUGUAGGUAGCUAGCUAACAGCCAUGGAGGAGGGUGAAAGGAUAGCAGCCCCAACUGUCAAUGAGAGAGGAGGCUAUUCUGGAUAGGGCAGGUACUUUUGUGUAGUUCCUGGCUCUAGAAGUGAAGACGGAGAUAAUAGGACCAACAUAUUCAGUGUGGUGUAAUUUGACUAGAAUGAAGUCUGUUUCUUGUGAGGUUUUCUGUCCUCAGAUAAAGAGCGCUAUGAAAGCCAGUCUACAUAUGAAGAGGUCCCAAUGAAGAGCAGUGGUUCUCAGUCCUGGGGACUCAGAGGCACAUUGUUGUUUUUGCCUCAGCACUGCACAGCUGAUUCAAAUGAUCAACUCAUCAUCAAGCUUCAAGUAGUAUUUAUGUAUUCAUUUGUGAUGCUAUCCUUGAUAUGAUCCUGUUAUUGUCACAUGCUACACAUGUACAUAUGUGUGUCCAUGCAUCUAUCAAUCCAAUGUUGUCAUGAUUUGUUAUCAGGGAUAUUAUACUUUAGUAAUCCACAAUGACCUGGUGAUGUAACAGUCUAAUAAUUAUAUUGUCUUCCAUAUUCCUACAGAUACCUUGUAACUGGAGAUUCCUUCAAAACUAUUGCCUAUAGUUACCGUGUAGGGCACUGCAAGGUUGGGUGACCAGGGUCAUCUGGGACUGCCUCCUGGAGGAAUUCAGGUGUGUGAAGGCUACCGUGAAGAAUAGUAAGACACUUCAUUACUUCUAUAACUAACUAGCUAAAUUGUUUGUCCUUGUGGGUCGGUUCAUGUUUUUCAGCAUGAAGUGCUCUGCAGCCACUUAAUGUGGUGUGGACACCAGGUGAGGCCACACACUCAGAUUCCUGUUGAACACUGUCGCUUUAACUACCUUAUUUUCUCAAUAACAUUCUCUCUCCUUCACUUCAUCCCUCUCUCCCCUUCUCCCUAAAUCCUCUAGGUUAUAUCAGCUGUGUCGGUGAACCACUCCUCCAUCUGAACUGGCUACAUAGAGGACACAGCAUGAUCAGAGAUAUGUUUUGUUGUGAGAGGAUGCCAACCCCCAGUCCCAUCAUCGCCACCUCACCAUCUUUUAAGAUAACCUUUGGGCCGACUAGAGACACUAUUAUGUAAUUGUGAUGUACUGAGAGAAUAUUUAGCUGCCUUCCCUGCUCCUAUGUGUUUACCUCUUUCCCUUUCUGUCUUUUACACCUCCUCCUCUUUCUUCCUCUGUUUUUAUAAUUCACAACAGAUGUGCAUUGAAGUACAGAUUGAACUUGUAUUGAUAACACUUGGAUAAUGAGCUUUUCCAUAAAUGUUUCACAUUCUCUACUGGUUGAAAUGAAGUGUAAUGUGAUGAAAUACUCCACCUAUCCUGUGUUUAUCAGAUCAAUGCAGAUGAAGGAAAUUAGAUAUUGAGAUGAACCGGUGUUAAGAGUAUUUACAUGAUGCAUAGGAAGUGUAGUGUAGUGUUUUUUAACAUUAUAUUUCUGUAUAUAUUAAUUAACUAGUUAAAUCCUGUUUCUAGUCUAUUAGUUACAAUGUGUAACCAUUGAUGUCCCAGCACCAAGAUUGGUAAAUACUGUUGAAGUGUAUAAUUGUAAUACAUACAUGCAGACACAGCAUCAUUCAAAGACUGGAAUUUGAUACUCCUGGUAUUGGAUAUGACCGGUAUUGGAUAAUACAUUCAUACCUAAACUGCACCUUUAUUUGCCAAGAUAGAGUACAUGAUCAGUGAAUAUAUUAAAUGUACAGGCUACAAUGUGGGGAUCUCAUGCAUGGUAAUAACUACAUGUAUGUACGACUUGCAUCCUUGGUACAACAUGAUAUUAUAUUCUACUCAA